rnacentral:rRNA from 1 species
GUGAAAUUGUUGAAAGGGAAGCGCUUGCAACCAGACCUGCCUGCAGUUGCUCAUCCGGGCUUUUGCCCGGUGCACUCUUCUGCUGUCAGGCCAGCAUCAGUUCGGGCGGUCGGAUAAAGGCUUCGGGAAUGUAGCUCCUCUCGAGGAGUGUUAUAGCCCGUUGCGAAAUGCGGCCAGCCUGAACUGAGGUCCGCGCUUCGGCUAGGAUGCUGGCGUAAUGGUUGUAAGCGGCCCGUCUUGAAACACGGACCAAGGAGUCUAACAUCUGUGCGAGUGUUUGGGUGUCAAACCCGUACGCGUAAUGAAAGUGAACGGAGGCGGGAACCCCUCGGGGUGCACCGUCGACCGAUCCUGAUGUCUUCGGAUGGAUUUGAGUAAGAGCAUAGCUGUUGGGACCCGAAAGAUGGUGAACUAUGCCUGAAUAGGGUGAAGCCAGAGGAAACUCUGGUGGAGGCUCGCAGCGGUUCUGACGUGCAAAUCGAUCGUCAAAUUUGGGCAUAGGGGCGAAAGACUAAUCGAACUAUCUAGUAGCUGGUUCCUGCCGAAGUUUCCCUCAGGAUAGCAGUAACGUUUUCAGUUUUAUGAGGUAAAGCGAAUGAUUAGAGGCCUGGGGGUUGAAACAACCUUCACCUAUUCUCAAACUUUAAAUAUGUAAGAAGUCCUUGUUGCUUAGUUGAACGUGGACAUUUGAAUGUAUCGUUACUAGUGGGCCAUUUUUGGUAAGCAGAACUGGCGAUGCGGGAUGAACCGAACGCGGAGUUAAGGUGCCGGAAUGCACGCUCAUCAGACACCACAAAAGGUGUUGGUUCAUCUAG